CACCCACCACCUUUCUUUAGUGUCCCGUUUUAGAUUUUAUUUUCAUCCGUGGCAUGCCCUGCAGCUGUGCAAACGAGGCAUCACCCAGAUGCUGCAGACACCUCGGUCUGUGCUGGCCGUGGCUGGGUUGCCUUUGGGAUAAGCCCCGACUCCUGAGCGGGGAAUGAGCCAGCUUCGUGUCUUCCCGGCUUUCCUGCACCCGUUGUGCUCUGCCUGAGGCCUCAACGAGACCCACGCGCUCAAGCUCCUGCCACAGCCGCCCUCACCGGAGCCCUGAUCCAUCCUGAUGAGUCCUGAGAAUGUCCCACUAAUGCUGCGUAACCCAGGGAGGCUUAGUGGCAGGGCCACAUCAUGACACGUGCAGAGGGGAGGUGACCAGCAAGGAGCGGGGAUGCACAGCAUCAAUGCUGCAGGGAGCUUGGCCAUGAGUACCCUGCACCCUCCUCCUCCCGCCCCCACGUCUCCUGCCCCCAUCUCCCCUGGGGACGCCCCCGUGGCUGAGGACAGCACAGGACGGAGAAGGAGGUGGAGUCUAUCUGCAGUGCAAACAUCACCAUCACGUUUCACAUCCAGUGUAAUCUCCGUGACACCUGUUGUGUUUCCACCAGCAGCAAGCACCCUCUCCACGCCCUUUCUGUCACUGCAGCUUAUGCAGUGGGCUCUGCGAUCUCUCCCUUGUCAGCCUUCUUCCUGCAUGAUCCAUACGGGAUGCUCACCUCUUACCACUCUGUGCCCAUGUAUUAUUCUCAACAAAUAGUUCCCCACGUUUCUUCCCAUUGAGUCUAGACUGGCUUACUUCCUGGCUCCUUUAUGGUGUAUCCACAUGGCCUCAUAUGAUGAAAUUCAUUAUGAUUCAUUAAAUUUGCUCAUAAAAAGAGC